CCUACGGGAGGCAGCAGUGGGGAAUAUUGCACAAUGGGCGCAAGCCUGAUGCAGCCAUGCCGCGUGUGUGAAGAAGGCCUUCGGGUUGUAAAGCACUUUCAGCGGGGAGGAAGGCGUUAAGGUUAAUAACCUUGUCGAUUGACGUUACCCGCAGAAGAAGCACCGGCUAACUCCGUGCCAGCAGCCGCGGUAAUACGGAGGGUGCAAGCGUUAAUCGGAAUUACUGGGCGUAAAGCGCACGCAGGCGGUCUGUCAAGUCGGAUGUGAAAUCCCCGGGCUCAACCUGGGAACUGCAUUCGAAACUAGCAGGCUAGAGUCUUGUAGAGGGGGGUAGAAUUCCAGGUGUAGCGGUGAAAUGCGUAGAGAUCUGGAGGAAUACCGGUGGCGAAGGCGGCCCCCUGGACAAAGACUGACGCUCAGGUGCGAAAGCGUGGGGAGCAAACAGGAUUAGAUACCCCAGUAGUC
rnacentral:rRNA from 1 species